UUUCAACUCGUUGUGUGUCGCGAAUUCCCGAUUAUCAUCCCUCCAAGCUAUUAAAACACAUUCACAAAUUUCUCGCAAUUAUUUCUACGAUGUCACGUAUGAGAAAAAAAUUUCAACUGAAGUAUCACCGAAACUUCGCCCAAUCUCCAAGGUUCAGUGCUUCAAGAAAUUUUGCAAGAUUUUUUCAAUAUCAAGCAGAAUUUUCUGUUCGCAAUUACAGUGAAACUUCAUUUGCGCGAAUUUGUCGGAUGAAACAGAGGAUUUAUGUGGUCGGAGUUCGUAUAAUUUUUCAUUCACGUAGUGGAUGCUCGUGUCCGGAUGUAAGUAGAUUCAGCCAGUAACGGCUCGUUUAAUCGCGCACUGCCUACAGUUUCGUGCGAACGAAUGGAGUUCGC